rnacentral:rRNA from 1 species
AGCUCCAAUAGCGUAUAUUAAAGUUGUUGCAGUUAAGAAGCUCGUAGUUGAAUUUCUGCCUUGUCAUUAAUCUCGCUUCCGAGCGUUUUUUUAUUGGCUUGGCAUCUUCUGGAUUUGGUGCCUUCGGGUACUAUUUUCCAGGAUUUACUUUGAGAAAACUAGAGUGUUUCAAACAGGCAUUCGCCUUGAAUACUACAGCAUGGAAUAAUGAAGUAGGACUUUGGUUCUAUUUUGUUGGUUAUUGAGCCAGAGUAAUGGUUAAUAGGAGCAGUUGGGGGCAUUCGUAUUUAACUGUCAGAGGUGAAAUUCUUAGAUUUGUUAAAGACGAACUACUGCGAAAGCAUUUGCCAAGGAUGUUUUCAUUAAUCAAGAACGAAAGUUAGGGGAUCGAAGACGAUCAGAUACCGUCGUAGUCCUAA